UACGAAGGGGGCUAGCGUUGUUCGGAAUUACUGGGCGUAAAGCGCACGUAGGCGGAUAUUUAAGUCAGGGGUGAAAUCCCAGAGCUCAACUCUGGAACUGCCUUUGAUACUGGGUAGCUAGAGUAUGGAAGAGGUAAGUGGAAUUCCGAGUGUAGAGGUGAAAUUCGUAGAUAUUCGGAGGAACACCAGUGGCGAAGGCGGCUUACUGGUCCAUUACUGACGCUGAGGUGCGAAAGCGUGGGGAGCAAACAGG
rnacentral:rRNA from 1 species